CUUGACCUCGGAUCAGGUGGGAUACCCGCUGAACUUAAGCAUAUCAAUAAGCGGAGGA
rnacentral:rRNA from 1 species